rnacentral:rRNA from 1 species
GACGAACGCUGGCGGCGUGCUUAACACAUGCAAGUCGAACGGAAAGGCCCUGCUUUUGUGGGGUGCUCGAGUGGCGAACGGGUGAGUAACACGUGAGUAACCUGCCCUUGACUUUGGGAUAACUUCAGGAAACUGGGGCUAAUACCGGAUAGGAGCUCCUGCUGCAUGGGGGGGGUUGGAAAGUUUCGGCGGUUGGGGAUGGACUCGAGGCUUAUCAGCUUGUUGGUGGGGUAGUGGAUUACCAAGGCUUUGGAGGGUAGCCGGCCUGAGAGGGUGAACGGCCACAUUGGGACUGAGAUACGGCCCAGACUCCUACGGGAGGCAGCAGUGGGGAAUAUUGCACAAUGGGCGGAAGCCGGAUGAAGCAGCGCCGCGUGCGGGAUGACGGCCUUCGGGUUGUAAACCGAUUUCGCCUGUGACGAAGCGUGAGUGACGGUAAUGGGUAAAGAAGCACCGGCUAACUACGUG